GGGGGCGUAAGGGCUUCGACCGGAAGUCGGAGGUAGAGGUUGCGCGCCGAGGUUGUCAGGCGGCCUCGUUAAACACCUGGCAAACCUAAACAUGCCGAAAGAACACCGGCAUACGCAAUGGCGGCUUAAUUGACCGCCGCGUCACUACUGGUCCCGCCUGCGGGCCGGUAACUGGCGACAAAAAAGCAGGCUAACCCGUUAGUUCCCGUGCACGUGGGGACGCGGGGAAGGUCGCAACCCGACCCAAAACGCGCUGGCCGAGACGGAUCCUGUCAUUCGGAGCCGCAUCGGCGAAACUCAAAAGACUGACUAUGCGUGUAGAUACCUCGCUGAACGCUUUCGGGACGCGGGUUCGAUUCCCGCCGCCUCCACCA
rnacentral:tmRNA from 1 species